ensembl:lncRNA
AUGCCAAGUCCCGAUUUCUCUCCACCUCUGCUCCACCCACCCCGGUUCUUUCCAAAAAAUAUAAAAAGAUUAGAAUUGGAAGAAGUCGGCAGGGCACUCCGGGCAGGGUCUCCGCAGCGGCUGUCGACUCAGAGCUUUAUCCUCAGAUCAAAAAAAAAAAAAAAAAAAAAAAAAGGGAAAAAAAACCCCAACAUUCUCAUCACAGCCACCUUCAGCCAUCUUGCGCGUAUUAUUAUUAUUUCAGGACUAAUCUGUUUAAUAAAAAUAGCUGCGUCUCUAGCCCCUUCCCCCGCAUCCUGGGCUCCCUGCCCCCUUUUAAUAAUAAUCUCGAUAAUAAAAAUGAUCUGCGGGCCAGGCAGUCCACAGCUGCCUUUUCCUGCCUCGGCUCGCUCGGGCUUGGGCUCUCCUUCUCCCAGGAAGGGGACGGGGGGGGUGGGGUUCGCCGCUGGGGCUGGGGAGGGGGGAGCUGUGCGUCCCUGCUGCCCGCCAGUCGGCCCUCUCCGCCUUAGACGCGAGGGAAGGGCGCCCUCGCCGCUAUCUCGCUGUUGCGAGGAGGGCAAGCGGGGGAGGGGCCCCGACUCGCUGGACUGGCUGGAGGGGUGCACAGAGGUCCCCGAUCUUCCCUCCACGGCCCAGCCUCGGAGCAUGAGCCCGGAGAUGGGGAGGAUACAAUGGGCUCGCAGCAAAGUGCUGCUGGCAGGGUGGGGACGCGAGCGGGCAGGGGGUUACGGUGAGCCGGACUCCCGAGCUAGGGCGGAAAGAGGAGGGUGGUGUCCCUACAUCAAGGCCGGUCCCGCUACUCUGCAAGGGGGGGACGGGGUGGGGGAGGGCUGGGAGGGGAGCCGAGGAGAAAGCAGCAACGCAACGCCGGCGCCUGUAAUCAGCACCCGCUGGUUCUGCCCACCCGGCAAAGGAGAAAUAAGCCGACACGAGAGGCGGGAGGAGGAGGAGGCGGGGCAUACUGUCCGGAAGUGCUGUUACAGCUGCUGAGACGCUCGGCUCCUCCCCUUUUCCCUGUCUGGAGUUGGGGGCUGUUCCGGAGGCUGUUCCCGCUAUUGGUCCCCAAGCUGAGGCUCCGCCUCUUUAAGGCGGAGCAAACACUAGAGCCUCACGUGACUCGCACUAACUUCGGUACAUUAAACAUUGGGGUUGGGGGAUGAGUUUCCUCGCUUCUUAAAAGGGAGAUGAUAAUGCUACGAGGUGGGACCACUUCUUCCUGGGCCUCCUCACUCAUUGCGCUUUUUACCUGAGAGGGAAAGGAGGGUUUGUCGGUCGACUCGUCUGUCUGAUGGAACUGAGCCGUGAAUUGCAAAGGUUCACUGUGCAGCAAUUUCCCCAGUGUCCUCAAUACUUUCCCCAACAUUUCUGACCCUUAAAACUACCAAGCAAGUUCCUGUUGUGGCUCAGCGGGUUAAGAACACGAUUGGUAUCCAUGAGGACGCGGGUUCAAUCCCUGGUUUUGCUUAGUGAGUUAAGGAUCUGGUGUUGCUGUGAGCUGGGGUGUAGGUCGCAGAUGCUGCUCAGAUCUGGCAUUGCUGUGGCUGUGGUAGGCCGGCAGCACGGAUGUGACACCUAGCCUGGGAACCUCCCUAUGCCCUGGGUGUGUCC